rnacentral:misc_RNA from 1 species
UUGUGGAGGAGGACGCCGAAGGUGGGGCUAAUGACUGGGGUGAAGUCGUAACAAGGUAGCCGUACCGGAAGGUGCGGCUGGAUCACCUCCUAACAGGGAGACAACAAAAUGUUUAAUAUUAUUAUUUUGUCACCUUAGGUCGAUCGGUAUCUCACGUUCUUAAAUUUGUUAAGAAUUUCAUUUCCUAAGUUUUUCUAGGUCACACCCAUUAUUUUUCCUGGGCCAUUAGCUCAGGUGGUUAGAGCGCACCCCUGAUAAGGGUGAGGUCCCUGGUUCAAGUCCAGGAUGGCCCAUAUCUCUAUGUUGGGAGUAUAGCUCAGUUGGUAGAGCGCCUGCUUUGCAAGCAGGAUGUCAGCGGUUCGAGUCCGCUUACCUCCACUGAUUACCACCUCUUACAUAACUGGUAAAAAGGAAAUGUUUUGAGUUGUGAUCAUUAUUCUGAACGAAUCUAGCUUCCUAAUGAAAUCAUUAAGAUGCUGGACUCAUUGAAUUAAUUUCAUUGUUUUCAGAGAACCUUGACAACUGCAUAGAUUAUUUUUAAAGACAAUAAGCAUCUUUAAUGAUGCAGAUUUAUUAUUUGUGCGAAUGCAUUAAUAACAAUUCUAUUAAGCUGAUGCUUCAAUUUUUGAAGUUAUUGGUCAAGCUACAA